UGUUCAUAAAUGUGCCUAUGGAGACCAGAAGUCAAAUUCAGCCACUGCCUAGGUGGGUGCGCACUACAGAGCUGUAUGCCCAUCACCAAGCUCUGCUGCCAGGCCCAAGAGAGUAGAGGCAGGAUCAGCUGCCUGUGGUGUUCUCUCCAGCCCACCCACCCUCUCCUGCAAGAAUCCACACAGCUGCUCACCCUGCUCCCCGGGUCAGACCUCUGAUUUGAAAGACCAUCCACUUCUCUGCAAAAUACACACUGUGUUCCAAC